CUGCACCUAGUUUGCCAGAUUGAAGCUCCCUCACUCACGUAUUCCUCCUAUUUGCAUCGAGCUCAUCCUAAAUCUGGGGGUCCGAGGUCACUGCUAUCACUCCUCUUCCCUGACGGCACCUUUGAUAGUGCCGAGAUGCUCACUCGUGGGAUCCCCUCCAAGCUCCCCAAGAGUGCCUUCGAGAUCCCUUUGUUGGGAUCUGAGAUUGUCAUUUUUGCACCUUAUUUUUGACAGCACCAUCUUGCCCAGAUAUGGAC
rnacentral:lncRNA from 1 species